rnacentral:tRNA from 1 species
UGGGGUUGGCUCAGUGGUAGAGCACUCACCUAGCACAUGCGAGGCCCUGGGUUCAAUCCUUAGCACCACAU